GUGGGGAAUAUUGGACAAUGGGCGAAAGCCUGAUCCAGCCAUGCCGCGUGAGUGAUGAAGGCCUUAGGGUUGUAAAGCUCUUUCAGUAGGGAAGAUAAUGACGGUACCUACAGAAGAAGCCCCGGCUAACUUCGUGCCAGCAGCCGCGGUAAUACGAAGGGGGCUAGCGUUGUUCGGAUUUACUGGGCGUAAAGCGCACGUAGGCGGAUCGUUAAGUCGGGGGUGAAAUCCUGGAGCUCAACUCCAGAACUGCCUUCGAUACUGGCGAUCUUGAGUCCGGAAGAGGUGAGUGGAACUCCUAGUGUAGAGGUGGAAUUCGUAGAUAUUAGGAAGAACACCAGUGGCGAAGGCGGCUCACUGGUCCGGUACUGACGCUGAGGUGCGAAAGCGUGGGGAGCAAACAGGAUUAGAAACCCGUGUAGUCC
rnacentral:rRNA from 1 species